UUUUCCUCGAUAACGAAGGCGACCUUAACCUAAAUAAUAGCCCGAACUGCGGUUGCAGUACGACUUCUUAGAGGAGGGACUAUCGGCUCAAGCAGAGAAGUGUGAGGCACUAACACAUGUGUGAGACCCCUAGAGAUUUUGGGCCGCACGCGCGCGACACACUGACAGAGCCAGAGAGUAUCACCUUGGCCGGAAGGUCCGGGUAAUCUUGUUAAACUCCGUCGUGCUGGGGAUAGAGCAUUGCAAUUAUUGCUCUUCAACGAGGAAUUCCUAGUAAGCG
rnacentral:rRNA from 1 species